UGAAAGGUCAAAGGCACUCCUUUGAACGAGUCACCCAGGCUGAGUGGGUCUGAAGAGACGGCGCCAGGGGUCCAGCAGAGUUUGCUGCAUCCUUCCAGAGCCUUCCGCUUGAUGCACCAGCCCACAACUUCAAACCGGGUGACCAGGUCCUGGUACAGAAGUGGGAAAAAGAUCCUCUUGCGGAAAAGUGGGAAGGACCCUAUCAGGUGUUGCUGACUACACACACGGCUGUCCGCUUAUUAAACAGUGACAAGUGGACCCACUAUUCAAGAGUGAAGCCUUUUCAUCCGGAGGACACCAACUCCCAGGGUGUGGUCACUCCGGAAGCUGACAACACCCGGGAACAAGAAGCCGACAAGUGGACAAGUGAACCAGUAGGAGAUCUGAAGUUACGUUUACACAAAUGUGGACUCUAAUCUAUUUUUUUGGCUACCGUGCAUCAUGACCCUUCUGAGACGGACCGUUCGAUCAGUUGUUAACUGUGAAAUGUUUGUACACUAUCAGAAAUUGGCUAUCGCAGACACUUAUUAAAAAUUUAGAGUAAGAAAGCAUCUGAGGGGGGAGCUGUAGUAAAAAGACGUUAGCCCCCAUAAUUUUGCAGUAAUGCUUGAGCAACAACCAUAUGAUAGAAGUGUCUUAUGACCAUCUUAUGACCCUUUUGUGUAAAGAUCAGGAGGUCUAAUGUCCAAACUGUGGUCUGUGGUUCUUACUGCUUGCCUUGCAUUUUGAAAUCAUCUCUGUCCAGUGCCUCAAGAUUACGUUAAGAUAAGAAGUUACUAAAGUUUAACUAACUUUGUUGAAAUUGCUCUUUUCUUCUGAGCAUGCUGCAAUUCUACCUUUGAGUGCGCACGUACUAACCCUGAUAAGUCACAUUAACCAAUAACUAGUUAAGUACAGCCUACAAGAUAAGACGUCACAAUUAGGAACUGGUACUGCAGCCAAUAAACUUCUAGUACGUCAAGACUCUGUUGAAUGUAAGCUAUAAAAAUGUAAUUUCAGGCCGGACUCAUCGUCGGCCCUGAUUUGAGCUCUCUGCUCCUCGGUCGAACUGUUUGCAAACAAUAAACCUAGAUGGACCCAG